UACGAAGGGGGCUAGCGUUGCUCGGAAUCACUGGGCGUAAAGGGCGCGUAGGCGGCUUUUUAAGUCAGGGGUGAAAUCCUGGAGCUUAACUCCAGAACUGCCUUUGAUACUGAGAAGCUUGAGUCCGGGAGAGGUGAGUGGAACUGCGAGUGUAGAGGUGAAAUUCGUAGAUAUUCGCAAGAACACCAGUGGCGAAGGCGGCUCACUGGCCCGGUACUGACGCUGAGGUGCGAAAGCGUGGGGAGCAAACAGG
rnacentral:rRNA from 1 species